GGGGGUGUUCCGGAUUCGACCCUUGGUUGGAGUGCGCCGCUGCCUGUCGAGAGUCGGGGGUCUCUCGCAAAUCGCCCCUCGAAAAACAUAAAUGGCACACCUGAAGUAAUGCCCAUGGCCGCCUAAUUAGGCAGCCUCGUUGGUCCGGCGACACCUGCUAGCCGGUACUGACGUCGACAGCAGGCAUAACGCGUGGAGCGGUCCGCGGACUGCGCGUCGUAACUUCAAUCCGGGGACUGGCCGGUGCUUAAGCGCGCGUGAUCGCGUAACACCAGCGAGAUCAAAGUCACACUAUACAUGGUAGACGCGGUGCGCGAAGGUCAGGGGCACGCGGGUUCAACUCCCGCCACCUCCACCA
rnacentral:tmRNA from 1 species